rfam:Triticum aestivum genome assembly, contig: Triticum_aestivum_CS42_TGACv1_scaffold_556605_7AL
GAUAUACCCCCUCUGUCCGGAAUUACUUGUCGCAGAAAUGGAUAAAAAUGGAUGUAUGUAGAACCAAAACGUCUAGAUACAUCCAUUUCUCCGACAAGUAUUUCUGGACAGAGGGAGUACUAG